GGUGAGGAGUCAGGUGGCUGCUGCACGGAGCAGGAACAGUCAGUGCUUAGAGGAACUGCCUGUGAGAAACAUUGAGAAGUACAACCGGAAAUCCUCUCGUGCUGGCUGAGGACUGGAGCUGUGGCUGGGCAGUGCGGUGGGUGGUGCAUUGGAGGUGCAGCUGGGCUCUGCACAGAGGGUGAGUGUUGGAUAAUCUGUGGUGCAGGUGCUUCCCUACCCCUCGUGGAUGGCUCAUAAAUUCCAGGUGGGAUCUGAAGGAACUGGCACUGCCCCAUUACGUUCCUCUGUGGCUUCAGUCCUGGCAACUUCAGCAGCUUCUCCCUGCACAGCAUUAACACAGCUGUGCUCAGCGGACCCACCGGUGCUGGAACGGCCUCAAUAAGCAGUGGGAAGCUGCCAGCUCUGCUCCCUGAAGGGCUCCUGGCUCCGCCUGCCAGCUUGGGCUGUGUUAACCCCCUGGGCACGGCACUGCCCCAGCCUGGCCACAGCCUCCCACUGCCAACAGUUUCAAUUAGGAAUUCUCCAGCUGUCUUCCUUCUCUGCUCUUCACCAUGGGGUCAUGCUGUGAAGAUGAGCUCCUGCUGGUCCUGCUGCCACAGCUCCAAGGUUUCAGUGGGAGCAGAGCCUGUGCCUGCAGAACAUCUCCAGCUGCUGUGGCUGUACCUCACAGAAACAGAAAACUCCAGCAAACAUCUGUGGGAUCUUGUUUGUAAUUGUCCCCACCAGCUCCACUCAGCUUCAAAAGCUGGAGGCUGAAGGGCUGCUCCUGUGGCUCAGCUGAAGCCAGAGACAAAUGUUGGCUUCUGUAUGAUGACUAAGUCUCACAUGCUUAUUGCUCCUAUCAGUUAGAGCUCUUAAUCACUUUGUGCUGUUUCAUCCUAUAACGUGAAUGCACUUCAAGCUGUGAAAUUCACCGUUUUUGCCAUGACUAAUUUGUGAAAUCUGCCACCUUUCUUUGUGGUUCACGUUGUGCCCUAGUUAGGCAUCAUCUGUCUGAUUAGGGAAGCCUGUGAUUUGUUUCUUGCAGUUGAGCCAAUACAAUUUCAUUCCCCUCCUUUCUUGUCUCUGCACUCAGCUGCAAUUUUACUGUCACCCGUGCCCUUGGAUGCACUGAGGCUAGAGGGGUGUGGAGGCCACCUCUGCUGGGGCUGGCACAGGAGCCUGGCUCUCCCCAUCUUCAGAGCACGUGCACAGGGCUCAGCCUGGCCUUUAACCCUGGCUUUGCUUGAGGCUACCUAGGUCUGCUAUGUUUACCAUCUUCCUAGAUUUCUGGUUGCUGCAAUAUUUUGGAAAACAUUUCCCACCUGCCUUGCCAGUGCCUUGUUUCACGAUACAUUCAUCUGUUACUCUUUACAUUGAAUGUUGCUGGCAUUACUAAAUGCUAUAAAUACACCCAGUAUUCCAUAAAAACACACAAGCAGAUGACUGGUCUUGCCUACAAGAAAUACUAUGAAUUUUUCAUUUUUUUCACAUGCUCUGAGAAAAAUUCAGAGGGUGCUUGAGGAAUAUCUCAUAACUGAAUCAAGUCCUAAAUUCCUGUUUUCUCACUGAUUAAUUAUUUCCUAAAAAUAUUUUCCUGCCCUCUUAAUGUCUUAAUUGUUCCUUGAAGAUCUUGCCAGCUCAUCCAUCCUUUUUCACACCCUCUUAUAAGCCCAGUGAAGCAUUAUUUUAGUAUUUCUGUCACUGAAAUACAGUGAUAAAUGGUCUUCUUUUAAAAUCAGUGGGAACAGAAUAAUUGAUGCGCAGGAGAGCUUAUUGACUUGCUAUUGCCAAAAUGGAGCCCUGCCAUGAAGUUCAGAAGGAUCACGAGAUGCCCUGGAUACUCCUCGUGCUCCUCUUUUCUUGAUGGCAAAGCUGAUGGGUUUGGGCUACACAUCUUCACAAGCUAAUGAUGGAAAAGCAAAGGAAACCUCCUAUCCUAGCUCUUAUUUUAAACAAAACUUUCUUUUCCAUCUCUAUUUCUAUAUUCUUUUACCAGUUUCACUCAAAGUUAAUCACCUCCCUGCCUGAAAAACAGACAUGUGAAUAAGAUCAACAGCAUGAUUCCUAUUAACAGAUAAAUAAAUGGACAAAUCUCUGAGAGUCCCUGGCUGUAAUUAACCCUUUAUCAAAAUCCCAGAAGAGGAGGCCAAGGAACAGCCCAAGUGCAUGUUCUUGACUUUGUCCAGCUCUCAGAAA